UUAAGGGCAAUGUCAAUAAUAUUUAUUUUUACCAUUUAAUUUACUUUUGUAAAGUUUUUUUUACGAUUUGUCCAACUAAGCAAUGCACUAUGUCAGUAAUGUGGAGAUUUUGAAACUAAUUUGAUAACUCACUUGAAAUGUGGAACUCAAAAAUUUGAAAGUUGAUAUUUAAUAUUCCGAACAGGUGAGAAACUCAAGGAUGAGGAAGUGGAUGAUAUUAUCAAGGCCACCGACACCAGGGAAGAUUUGGACGGAAAUGUUAAAUACGAAGAUUUUAUCCAGAAAGUAUUGAAAGGCCCAGAAUAAAUAAAUCAAUCACAAGGAUUCACUUUCAUCUUUUGAGAUCAAGUCCCCCCCUAUAUAGUAUUUAUUGAAGACUGGAAACAACACAAUGACAACAAAGAAAUCUUUACACUGGUGUCAACAUGUCGUUCAAAACAAUUUGAGUGUGUGAUUAUAACACUUCUGUGGUUUUUUUUUGUUCAUAAUUUUAUUUCAAUCUUCUCCAUCAAACACCCCACCACUAUUUACAUGCUAAACAAAAACAAUGGGGGGUUAGGUUAGUUGGUUAAACUUCAUAGUUAUUUGAACGAAAGCACUGACCUAAAGAAAAAAGUUUUUGUGUUUGUUUUUGACAUUGUGUGUAAUGUCAACUUGUAAAUAAAUGGAUUUGUAUAACAUUU
rnacentral:sRNA from 1 species